UACCUGCUCUAGAGCUUUGAACCAGAUUGCCUGAGGCCCCUGUUGCCAUGCAUCCGAGUUCAACUUCUCCCUCUGCCCGGGUCUGCUUCCCUCCCUCUGUUGCUGGUGCUACUCUGUUGCUGAUCACUCUCCAGUGAGUCCGCUGCAUGGAGAUCUCCGUCUUUGAUCUAUUUCUAGGGCACCUGACCUACUACUACAGUUGGUGCUAGAAGUGAUUCCUAGGAAACAGACACUGAAAUGGGAUUUUGGAGCUGGCUCACCCACAGGCCAGUGGGUAACGAGAACCCCACCCCUGGUGGUGGGUGGAGGUGCUGAUGGCCCCUGACAUGCUCUGGCAGUGCAGUUGUGAAAGCUUGUCCCAGCGCUGACGUCGGGUGGACCUGCGGGAUGGAUGCACUCGUGGAAGGGGCUGCACUGGCAGGUGUCAUCUCUCAGACAUUUGAGAAGCUCGGAGGAGGUAGUAAUUAUGAAGUCUGUGGAAUUAGGUGAUUGUUGCUGUGGGCAAUUGAUGCAUUGGACAAAGGUAAUGAAAGGCUGAGGGUGAUUAAUCGCCAAUUUCAGGUGAAGUGUGAAAGCCAGAGGGCCUCCUUGCCAGCAGAUAAAGAGACUUUCUCCUACAGCUGGAGGGCAGAAAAAAAUCUGAGGUUUGGCUCAGGAAUGAAUUAGAAGGGUAGCAGAUUUCCAAAGAAAAUUGAAUUCUCACUAUAGCAAGUCAGCUAGGCUUUGGUUGGUUGGGACUUGGUUGGGGGCUCUGAUAUUUCAGACAGGGACAUCGGGAUUGAUUCCCUUGAAUACCUGGAAGCCCUGUGGUCACCCUGAGCCCUCUGAGGCAGCAGAGUGUCCUUUGCCUUCCUGUUAAAGACGGGAGGUUUCCUGGCUGGAAGAUGGCGCAGGGGCUUCUAUCUCGCAAGAUGCCACGUGUCAUGCACUCUCCCCAGCCUCCUGCCCCAGGGUGGUCUCCCACCUCCCCUUCCCACUGCCAGACCUGUAACUUGGGCUAAGCUGCAACAUAACCCCCUGCUCAGGGAGGGCUCAGCCGGGCUACACCAGCCCGGAGCCGGGAGUUUACUUCAUUUCUCUCCCCGUCCAGUCUCGACCUUCCACGUUGCAGUCAGAGGAAUCUUUUCAGAGAGAGAUCUCAUGUCUCUGCCCCGCUCAGAACUCCUCCGUGGCUCCCUGUUGCCUCAAGAGCAUGUGGAAGUCAUUAGUGUUGUUUGUCAAAUAUUUCUGGCGAUGCACCUGCUGAACACAUGGAAGGAUUGCACUUCUUGGCCCUCUUGUGGUUGGGUGAAGCCUUGUGAUGAAUUCUGGCCAAUGAGUAGUGAAUGGAAGUGACUUGUGCCAUGUGUGGGCACUUAAUUGCUGUGUGAGGCCCUCCAGAGCUCUCUUUUCCUCUGCCUGGGUGACUGGCAGGGGCUGAGAUGGUGUCUGCUCCGUCAGUUGGAUGAGGAUUCAUGGAGCAGAGCCCCAACCAACCCAUCAUGCCCAAGCAGCACGAGUAAGAGAUAAUAUUUAUUGCUUUAAGCCACUAAGAAGAAGGGGUUGUCUGUUAUGGGAGUAUGACCAAGGCUAUUCUGCCUGACACGAGGGUCCUGGCUUGACCCAAGCUGAACUCGUUCUGGCAUUCAGAUCUGAGCCACAAAUUUUCAGACUCAGGAGCCAUUGAUGGAAGGGGAGGCCAAGGCCUCUUGAGGAAGGACUCUGCAAUGCCACUUCAAAUGGGAAGGAGAAACUUGGAGAAGUGGAAAUGACUUCACCCAGCCAAGAACAUGGUGGAGCUGAGCCAGCUGGUCAAACCCAUGUUUCCCUUGGCUCAUGUCACGGAAGGUGUAGGUACAGACGAGUAGAUCCAGCCAAGUCCAGCAGCAAUGCUGAAAGUACAGUAUGUUGGCGUGCUUGACAGUGACUGGGGGCACGAGGGGCCCUGCUCUGGUGUGCGGAAUCCACUCCAAAGAGCGACGUUCAUACGGAGAUUUCAACGAGAAGAAGCCAAUCAAAGGGAGGUCUAGAGGAAGAAUGUUCCACAUCGAGGGAGCCAUCGGUGCGAAGGCCCUGGGAUUGGAAUACACUUUACCAACUCACCACAUGCAGACACCUGUUUCUGAGUCCCUCUCUCCGUUGGACAAGGAGCUCCUCGAACACCAGGAUUGCAGCUGACACAGCUCUGAGAGCCCAGGACCCCGCACACAGCCCAGCCCGGCGUGGAUGCCUGACAACUUGACAAAUGCUUCCUAGGUUGGCGUGAACUCUUUGGGUACGGAAGUCAUUGACAGAAGCACUAGGUGAGCAAGCACCCUUCAUUUAAACAAAUAAUAAGAUUAGAAGCACGGCAACAUGCUACUUACCAUAACAUUUAAACAAACUCUGUGCUUCCUAGGAAUCUUGGCCUCUGGAGGUUGAGUUUCUAAGUGUUUACCAAAAACAACAAUAGCCUAUGAUAGUCAAAGUUUGAAUCGUCUCUCUCAAGGACUGUUCCCUUGUUACCUUGACACUAUGAAUGUUUGUUAAGAAAGAAUCUGUUUGUUAGAAUACUUCUCGUAAAUACUUGUGUUGGAAAGAAUACGUUUGUUAAAAUACUUUCUGUGUUCCUGUAAAUACUCGUGUUUGUGCGCUUACGGUUGUAAACCUGUGUUUGUCGCAGGUUGCUGCAUAUGCUGCCUGUUUUUUUUGUUUUUUUUCUAAUGAAUCCACCAAUGUAGAAGAACUGUGCAUCUCUUUAUUAAGCCAUGAGUGUAAGCUGUCUUCCUUGUUCAAGAUGUAUGCAAAUAAAAACCAAAGAAUUUUGAUCACGCAACCUUCUGGAGUCAGA